UGCGGACGAGAGAUGUGCUGGCUGUGGAUUCAUCGCUGCUGUUGGUCGAUUGGGACAUUCAGGUGGAGGUAGUAAAGGAAGUUGUGGCUGCAUAUCAGGGGGAGUUUCAGGGGAUUGGCGAGGGCGAUCUCUAUUCGAACUCGGCAGUGUCUAAUGGUUGAUCCUGCAGAUAUAGUGGAGUCAACAGCAACAACUGAACCUAUCUGUUGCACGGCCCGGCGAAGGAGCUGUUCAGUGCUCCAUUCCAGAGGUAAACCGUAUACGUGAACCCAGAAAGCACAGCAGGUAAAAUCAUACCAAUGUAGAGGUGUUUGAGGCAACCAUUGUUUAAAGAUAACCAGGUGUCCUGAAAACAACCAUGGACCUCCAUCAGCUACUCUCUGUUUCUCUUUCUCUAACUGAAACUUAGCAAUAUACAGGCCAUUAUCUCGCUGAGAUAUGUGGACACGUUCGGUCUUCCAUACUCUGGUCAUGGUGCCCGAAAAGCUGGCAAAUUAACGGUAGGGUUGGAUACUAUACUUCCAAUUAAGAGCAUCUAGUCGGACCGACUCGUCGGGUGCAUGCUCCUCCAUUGGAAUUAACCGACAGGUAAUUCUAAGAUGAAACCGGAAAACGGACCUGCAGCGAGGCUCACCGAUGCACCACGCCACAGCAAGUUCCGUCUAACCCAUAAUCCAUCAUCAAGAGUAAAGCAAGCAGAGACUUCGCAGGAGGUAGAAGCCUUACCUACCGAAUUGAUGCAAAUAGCGGACCCAUUGCUGCAAGUGGAGAAUCGGGUACAUGCAUGCAGCUAGACGAAACACAGGAGGAGAACUAUGUCGUACAGGGACAACAGAGCCACAGAUUCAACUGAAAGGAUAAAGAAGAAGGGGAGGUUACCACAUCGCAGGGAUUGAACGCUCCGUGGUGGUCGAGGAAAGAGGAAUUCAGAAGGAAGAUGAGAUUAGCGGGUAGUGAGUAGUGACUUUGAGAGAAAAGGCGUGAAAAAACUGUAAUCUACCAUGGUGGUAGGGGUAUCUCUGCAUAUCGAGAGAGAACUACCAUUGUCGG